AAUUUGGAUACAAACUCUUUAGUUGUAAUUUUUGACUUUGAAAAGUUGGUUUGAUUUCUAACAACUAGAAGUGUCUGCCACAAUCUGGGACAUUCCGAACUCUUCCAUCUCAAUUCUGCACCCUUCCAGGCAUGAUGUGCCUCGAGCGGUUCGCUCUGCACCAUGGAGUGUGCUGCUCUUUGGUGGACGGUGACCAUUACAGUUGAAUGUAGGAGUAUGAACACAUUAUUUUAGUGUGCAUCUGCUAUCAACAAUUUGGCUGUAUUCUACUUCAACAACAUUACAAUGGUAGAGGCACCCACUUCAUCUGCUGCUGUUAAACUUGCCCACCAUAUUGUAGACUGGCCCGCCCUAGUUUGUUUCCGCAAAUGAGUGACGAACUUACUGACUUAUUAUGUUAUAUAUAGUGUACAUGGAACAAAUUUUAUUAUUAUUAUUUUCAAUACGUAAA